rnacentral:lncRNA from 1 species
GCUGGUUGCCGAAUCCUAGGCAGUGAAUUCGCUUUAGUUUGCGUAACCUUACAACUGUCAAUGCGUUGCAGUCAGUGCAGAAGGUUGUAUAACAGUAAUUAAACAUAGUAAACAUGCUGCCAGAACGGAGACUAUGGAGAAGAAAGUUACACAGCGGCGACAAGAUAAAUUAUUUUUGAUGCUAUAUUCACAUGUAUGUGUGUGAUAGCUCAGCGAUUCAGCACAAAAUUUGUCAUUUUGUCCUCUUUUAACUGAUCAAAAGGGUAUAGCUCAGUGGUAUAGCAUUCUACUGCAGAUCGAGAUGUACUGAUUUCAAACCUGGGUGCCCCCUUGUGCUUAUUAUUAAUGUAAUAAAUGACAUUAAGUGAAUGAACUUACGGAUCAUGGAAUUUCCAAGACUUUGUAUAUUCAAGAAAUACUUAAUCAAUUGAUUUAUUUCUGAAAUUGUACGUACGGUUAUUGAAGCACACCAUGUUUCUCAUUUAGAUCUAAUUUCUUUUCUACCAAGAAACCAAAUUAGCUGUUGUGUAAAGUCUGU